UACGUAGGGACCAAGCGUUGUUCGGAUUUACUGGGCGUAAAGGGCGCGUAGGCGGCGUGGUAAGUCACUUGUGAAGUCUCUGAGCUUAACUCAGAACGGCCAAGUGAUACUGCUGUGCUAGAGUGCAGAAGGGGCAAUCGGAAUUCUUGGUGUAGCGGUGAAAUGCGUAGAUAUCAAGAGGAACACCUGAGGUGAAGACGGGUUGCUGGGCUGACACUGACGCUGAUGCGCGAAAGCCAGGGGAGCAAACGGG
rnacentral:rRNA from 1 species